rnacentral:rRNA from 1 species
CUGGCUCAGAACGAACGCUGGCGGCGCGUCUUAAGCAUGCAAGUCGAACGGCAAGAGGUAGCAAUACCUCCUAGAGUGGCGGACUGGUGAGUAACACGUGGGUGACAUACCCUUCAGAUGGGGAUAGCUAUUAGAAAUAGUAGAUAAUACCGAAUACGAGCACAGGGGUUAGAGAUCUGUGAGGAAAGGAGCUAAGGCUCCGCUGAAGGAAUGGCCUGCGGCCCAUUAGCUAGUUGGUGAGGUAAGAGCCCACCAAGGCGAUGAUGGGUAUCCGGCCUUAGAGGGUGAACGGACACAUUGGGACUGAGAUACGGCCCAGACUCCUACGGGAGGCAGCAGCUAAGAAUAUUCCGCAAUGGACGAAAGUCUGACGGAGCGACGCCGCGUGGAUGAAGAAGGCCGGAAGGUUGUAAAAUCCUUUUGAAACUGAAGAAUAAGCGUUGUAGGGAUGACAGCGUGGUGACAGUAGGUUUUGAAUAAGCAACGGCUAAUUACGUGCCAGCCGCCGC